rnacentral:rRNA from 1 species
UACGUAGGGUGCAAGCGUUGUCCGGAAUUAUUGGGCGUAAAGAGCUCGUAGGCGGUUCGUCGCGUCGGCUGUGAAAUCCCGAGGCUCAACCUCGGGUCUGCAGUCGAUACGGGCGGACUGGAGUUCGGCAGGGGAGACUGGAAUUCCUGGUGUAGCGGUGAAAUGCGCAGAUAUCAGGAGGAACACCGGUGGCGAAGGCGGGUCUCUGGGCAGUUACUGACGCUGAGGAGCGAAAGCGUGGGGAGCGAACAGG